rnacentral:tRNA from 1 species
GCCCUGUUAGCUCAAUGGCAGAGCGCUCGGCUUACAUCCGAGUGACGACUGUUCGAUUCGGUCACGGGGCACCA